AACCUUUACACUGCACGACAGUGCGAUAGGGGGACUCCGAGUGCGAGGGCAUAGAGCCCUCGCUUUUGUACACCGUAAGGUGGUGUACGAAUAAGAACUGGGCAAGACCGGUGCCAGCCGCCGCGGUAAUACCGGCAGUUCGAGUGAUGGCCGAUUUUAUUGGGCCUAAAGCGUUCGUAGCUGGCCGAUCAAGUCUGUCGGGAAAUCUGCUCGCCUAACGAGCAGGCGUCCGGCGGAAACUGAUCGGCUUGGGACCGGAAGACUCGAGGGGUACGUCCGGGGUAGGAGUGAAAUCCUGUAAUCCUGGACGGACCACCGAUGGCGAAAGCAUCUCGAGAGCACGGAUCCGACAGUGAGGAACGAAAGCUGGGGUCUCGAACCGGAUUAGAUACCCGGGUAGUCCCAGCUGUCAACGAUGCCCGCUAGGUAUGGCGCAGGCUACGAGCCUGUGCUAUGCCGUAGCGAAGGCGCUAAGCGGGCCGCCUGGGAAGUACGUUCGCAAGAAUGAAACUUAA
rnacentral:rRNA from 1 species